rnacentral:rRNA from 1 species
UACAGAGGGUGCAAGCGUUGUUCGGAAUUAUUGGGCGUAAAGGGUGCGUAGGCGGUGCGGUAAGUCUCUUGUGAAAUCCCUGGGCUCAACCCAGGAACUGCAUUUGAAACUCACUUUCUUGAGUACCGGAGAGGAAGGUGGAAUACCUGGUGUAGAGGUGAAAUUCGUAGAUAUCAGGUGGAACACCAGUGGCGAAGGCGGCCUUCUGGACGGUAACUGACGCUGAGACGCGAAAGCGUGGGGAGCAAACAGG